UUGGUUUAAUUUCGAUGCAACGCGAAAAACCUUACCACUUCUUGACAUGGAGGCUAGAUCCUUCUUAACAGAAGGGCGCAGUUCGGCUGGGCCUCGCACAGGUGCUGCAUGGCUGUCGUCAGCUCGUGUCGUGAGAUGUUGGGUUAAGUCCCGCAACGAGCGCAACCCUCAUCCUUAGUUACCAGCGGGUAAUGCCGGGCACUUUAAGGAAACUGCCAGUGAUAAACUGGAGGAAGGUGGGGAUGAUGUCAAGUCAGCACGGCCCUUAUGGGGUGGGCUACACACGUGCUACAAUGGCGACUACAAUAGGUUGCAACGUCGCAAGGCUGAGCUAAUCCGUAAAAGUCGUCUCAGUUCGGAUUGUCCUCUGUAACUCGAGGGCAUGAAGUCGGAAUCGCUAGUAAUCGUGGAUCAGCAUGCCACAGGUGAAUACG
rnacentral:rRNA from 1 species